AGGGAGUUCUGCCCCUGCCAAGGGGUGCUGGCCACGCAGGAGGCUUAACCUGGCCGGCGCGGGAAUGGGGUGCAGAGAGCAAAGAAAUGUGGCUUUGAUCUUAUGGAUGCCUUACUUUUACAUUAUUUGUACAGUUCUUGCAGUGAGCUUUCCGGACCACUGUCUUGUAUGUUUCCUAAGAAAAGCAAAAAGGGAAGAGAUUGAAGAGAAAGUAGAUUUUCAACUACAAACUUUCAUCCAUUUGCUUUCAGCUUAAGCAAAUGUGCGCAAAGUUGUCAUGGAUUUUUGCAGUCAAUAAAAACCAAGCAAGAAGACUGAAUCCCAAGUCAUCUGGGGCAGAUAAGAAAAGAAACAAUUUGCUGAAACUCCCUCUGCUUAUAACAAAACUGACUGAAAUCAGCCGGAAUCAAUAUGGCCAAAUGCAGUUUGCGCACAGCAAGCUUGCUGAUGUCACAGCCUGAAUUUCUACUGCAUGUUUCAUACCAACUCCCUCCAAAUUUGCACAUGGGACCCACCAGGAAGCAUGAAGAGAGAGCCAUGCAUGCCUGAAGACUUCCCAGAUGUUCCCUUUGCUUCCACCAAUCACCUGCUAACCCCAGGAUCCAACCCUAAACCUUUUGUAAUAAAAUUACUGCCCUAAAGCCAGUACAAGACAGAUUUGAACUGGACUUUUGUUUCCUCAGAAGUUAACUUGCAAUGUGAAGCUUUCCUUUUCUCAAAAACUUGGUGUCAUAGUGUUGGCUUCUAGUGCAGUGAGCCCCUUUUGCUGGAUAACCUUACCUGGUAAUUUGACAUACUAGGUGGUUAGUAACUACUGACUGUCUCCAGGUUACAACACAGUUAUUACCCACUUGGGUGAAAAGAGAAGACAGGAAAUACAUUUUGGAGUUGGCUGGCAACCUGUUUACAAAGCAAUUUACAACAGUUCCUUAUUCUUAAGGGGCUAUUCUAAUACAAGACCUCAGAGAAACAGUGCAGUGUGACAAAGGAGGAAUUUAUCAAAGGAGACAGAAAAAGCAUCAAGGCAAGCUGUGAAAUGGUGCGGUAGGAACCAAAUAGAGAGCCAAAGGAUCUUUCUGUCACUGCAGGCCCUUAGGGGUAAGCAAAUCCUUCCCUGAUCCCUGGUCUCCUUAUCUGUAAAUGAGAAUACCAGCACCCACCUCACUGUGCUGUAAACAUGAUGAGUUCUAACAAUAAUUUAUAAAUUGUAAAAUCACACAAAUCUAAAAAAAAAAAAAAAAAAAA
rnacentral:lncRNA from 1 species